rnacentral:lncRNA from 1 species
UCACUGUUCAAUCUACAGAUUUUAUGGGAUUUCAUUUGUAAUUUUUGGUAUAGUUUACUAUUGAAUUGGGUUACUUUUGAGAUUGAAAUGCGAAAAGAAAUGGGCCAUAUAAUGUAAUAACAAUGAUGAAAAUGUUGUCAAUAACGAGAAAGAAAUGGGUUGUCUUUCUGCAAUGCCAUUUUUGCAACCAAUUUCUAGAGAAAAUAAACUUCUUUUCCCAUUGUUAGCAAACCG